UACGUAGGGGGCGAGCGUUGUCCGGAUUUAUUGGGCGUAAAGAGCGUGUAGGCGGCCAGGUAGGUCGGUUGUGAAAACUGGAGGCUUAACCUUCAGACGUCGACCGAAACCAUCUGGCUAGAGUCCGGAAGAGGAGAGUGGAAUUCCUGGUGUAGCGGUGAAAUGCGCAGAUAUCAGGAAGAACACCCGUGGCGAAGGUGGCUCUCUGGGACGGUACUGACGCUGAGACGCGAAAGCGUGGGGAGCGAACAGG
rnacentral:rRNA from 1 species